CAUGUAGGCGGUUUUUUAAGUCUGGAGUGAAAAUGCGGGGCUCAACCCCGUAUGGCUUUGGAUACUGGAAGACUUGAGUGCAGGAGAGGAAAGGGGAAUUCCCAGUGUAGCGGUGAAAUGCGUAGAUAUUGGGAGGAACACCAGUGGCGAAGGCGCCUUUCUGGACUGUGUCUGACGCUGAGAUGCGAAAGCCAGGGUAGCGAACG
rnacentral:rRNA from 1 species